GGAAAAGAAACUAACAAGGAUUCCCCUAGUAACUGCGAGUGAAGCGGGAAAAGCUCAAAUUUAAAAUCUGACGGUCUCCGGCCGUCCGAGUUGUAGUCUGGAGAAGUGCUUUCCGCGCUGGACCGUGUACAAGUCUCUUGGAACAGAGCGUCGUAGAGGGUGAGAAUCCCGUCUUUGACACGGACUACCAGUGCUUUGUGAUGCGCUCUCAAAGAGUCGAGUUGUUUGGGAAUGCAGCUCAAAAUGGGUGGUAAAUUCCAUCUAAAGCUAAAUAUUGGCGAGAGACCGAUAGCGAACAAGUACCGUGAGGGAAAGAUGAAAAGCACUUUGGAAAGAGAGUUAAACAGUACGUGAAAUUGCUGAAAGGGAAACGCUUGAAGUCAGUCGCGUUGGCCAGGACUCAGCCUUGCUUUUGCUUGGUGUACUUUCUGGUUUGACGGGCCAGCAUCGAUUUUGACCACUGGAAAAAGGCUGGGGGAAUGUGGCACCUUCGGGUGUGUUAUAGCCCUCUGUCACAUACGGUGGUUGGGAUCGAGGACCGCAGCACGCCUUUAUGGCCGGGGUUCGCCCACGUUCGUGCUUAGGAUGUUGGCGUAAUGGCUUUAAACGACCCGUCUUGAAACACGGACCAAGGAGUCUAACAUGCAUGCGAGUGUUUGGGUGGAAAACCCGAGCGCGUAAUGAAAGUGAAAGUUGAGAUCCCUGUCGUGGGGAGCAUCGACGCCCGGACCUGAACUUCGGUGAUGGAUCUGCGGUAGAGCAUGUAUGUUGGGACCCGAAAGAUGGUGAACUAUGCCUGAAUAGGGUGAAGCCAGAGGAAACUCUGGUGGAGGCUCGUAGCGAUUCUGACGUGCAAAUCGAUCGUCAAAUUUGGGUAUAGGGGCGAAAGACUAAUCGAACC
rnacentral:rRNA from 1 species